GGGGGUCCGUGGCUCCAUGGUUAAGCAUCUGCUUUGCAGGCAUAAGGUUCCAGGUUCAAUCCCUGGCUCCUCCA
rnacentral:tRNA from 1 species